UAGGGAAUCUUCGGCAAUGGACGAAAGUCUGACCGAGCAACGCCGCGUGAGUGAAGAAGGUUUUCGGAUCGUAAAACUCUGUUGUUAGAGAAGAACAAGGACGUUAGUAACUGAACGUCCCCUGACGGUAUCUAACCAGAAAGCCACGGCUAACUACGUGCCAGCAGCCGCGGUAAUACGUAGGUGGCAAGCGUUGUCCGGAUUUAUUGGGCGUAAAGCGAGCGCAGGCGGUUUCUUAAGUCUGAUGUGAAAGCCCCCGGCUCAACCGGGGAGGGUCAUUGGAAACUGGGAGACUUGAGUGCAGAAGAGGGGAGUGGAAUUCCAUGUGUAGCGGUGAAAUGCAUAGAUAUAUGGAGGAACACCAGUGGCGAAGGCGGCUCUCUGGUCUGUAACUGACGCUGAGGAUAGAAAGCGUGGGGAGCAAACAAG
rnacentral:rRNA from 1 species